rnacentral:rRNA from 1 species
GAUGAACGCUGGCGGCGUGCCUAAUACAUGCAAGUCGAGCGAACAGAUCAGGAGCUUGCUCCUCUGAAGUCAGCGGCGGACGGGUGAGUAACAUGUGGUUAACCUACCUAUAAGACUGGGAUAACUUCGGGAAACCGGAGCUAAGACCGGAUAACAUUUAGAACCGCAUGGUUCUAAAGUGAAAGAUGGUUUUGCUAUCACUUAUAGAUGGACCCGCGCCGUAUUAGUUAGUUGGUAAGGUAACGGCUUACCAAGGCGACGAUGCGUAGCCGACCUGAGAGGGUGGUCGGCCACACGGGAGCUGAGACACGGUCCAGACUCCGACAGGAGGCAGCGGUAGAGAAUCUUCCGCGAUGGGCGAAAGCCUGACAGAGCAACGCCGGGUGAGUGAUGAAGGGUUUCGGCUCGUAGAACUCUGUUAUUAGGGGAGAACUAAUGUGUAAGUAACUGUGCACAUCUUGACGGUACCUAAACAAGAAGCCACGGCUAACUACGUG